AUUGAACGCUGGCGGCAUGCCUUACACAUGCAAGUCGAACGGUAACAGGUCUUCGGAUGCUGACGAGUGGCGAACGGGUGAGUAAUACAUCGGAACGUGCCUAGUAGUGGGGGAUAACUACUCGAAAGAGUGGCUAAUACCGCAUGAGAUCUACGGAUGAAAGCAGGGGAUCGCAAGACCUUGUGCUACUAGAGCGGCCGAUGGCAGAUUAGGUACUUGGUGGGAUAAAAGCUUACCAAGCCGACGAUCUGUAGCUGGUCUGAGAGGACGAUCAGCCACACUGGGACUGAGACACGGCCCAGACUCCUACGGGAGGCAGCAGUGGGGAAUUCUGGACAAUGGGCGCAAGCCUGAUCCAGCAAUGCCGCGUGCAGGAUGAAGGCCUUCGGGUUGUAAACUGCUUUUGUACGGAACGAGAAGCCCUGGGUUAAUACCCUGGGGUCAUGACGGUACCGUAAGAAUAAGCACCGGCUAACUACGUGCCAGCCGCCGCGGUAA
rnacentral:rRNA from 1 species